GGUCAGGGCGAGUUGGCCAUGGUGAAUUGUCAUAGAACCUUCCUUUCUUCUCUCCAUUUGUGCAUCCUUCCCAAAAAUGUGCAUUUGGUGGAAGGGGAUUAUCAUCCCCUGGUAGAAGGAGAGUACCAAUCAGUCAAGGGUAUAUGAUAGUUGGUGGAGCCACCAAAGUUAAUAUGAUGUGUGCAUCUCUGCAGUUUUGUCAUCCAUGCUUAGCAUAAUCCUGCUAGGGCUU
rnacentral:snRNA from 1 species